UUCAUCCACUGCAACACAACGGCAAGAAAUACAUGGUGUACGAGAGCUGCAUCAUGGAGUUGUUUAAUGCAUGUCCAGUCUGCACGAGGGCAUGUGAAGUGACCACCCAAAGGCUGGGGACAAUCCUGUCUGUGAAGCAGCAGUGCCCCCAUUGCACAUUCGGAGGACGCUGGAAUAGCCAGCCUAUCCUUGGGAGCACGCCAGCUGGAAAUCUGCACCUUUCUGCCGCUAUGUACCUGAGUGGUGCAUCUUUCCUAAAAAACGAAAAGGUAAAUGAUGUGCAACUGUAAAUGUGUGACUGUGAAUUGCUUCAAUAUAGAUCUAAUUACAUGUAUUAUUUAUCCCCCCACACCAAAAGGUCUUCAAGGCAAUGAAGCUACAGUUGUUUCGGUAUGAAACAUUUCGCCGCCAUGCCAAAAGUUUCAUUGAACCAGCAGUUAUUCACCAGUGGAAAGCCCUAAAUGAUUUAAAUCUGCAGUCAGGAGGAAAUAGUGAUACUUGGUGGUGACAUGAGAGCUGACUCUCCAGGUCACUCUGCAAAGUAUGGGAGUUACACAAUGAUGGAUCUCCAUACUAACACCAUUGUGGACAUUCAGUUGGUCCAGGUGAGUUGUCAAAAUGGAUAUUGUAAAGGAGUUAUUGGUUGUAAUUUCAAAGUCUAACAUGCAUAUUCUAUUGAUAUAUUUUUUUUCUGUGUUAACAGAGCAACAAAGUUGGUGGUAUCACCCAUAUGGAGUAGGAGGGACUGAAGAGGAGUCUAGCCUUACUGGAGUCGCGUGGCGGCAACCUUGACUGCAUUGUCACUGAUCGUCAUCCUCAAGUACAGAAGUACCUCAGGGAGAGAAACAUAACCCAUUACUACGAUGUCUGGCACUUUGCAAAAGGUAUUUCAAAGAAGCUGUUAGCAAUCAGUAUGCAGAAAGACUGUGAGAAACUCAAGAAGUGGAUGAAGAGCAUCAACAACCACAUAUACUGGACUGCAGCUGGCUCAACCUCCGGGCCAGAGAGAAUUGCAAAGUGGACCUCGAUCCUGAACCAUGUUCGAGAUGUCCAUGUAGGCCUACAUGAAGAUCCUCUUUACCCCAAGUGCAAGCAUGCGAUCCGCCAGACAAGUGACCGGAGUAAAUGGCUUCAAGCAGCAACUCCAACUUUCUCCAAGUUGGAGAAGUUGCUGACCAACAAAAGGGUGCUGAAGGAUGUUGCAAAACUGAGCCCCCACCACCAAACUUCAUCUUUGGAGGCUUUCCAUGCUGUUAUUCUUCGUUUUGCCCCCAAAAAAAAUUGUCUUUCCCUUUAUUGGAAUGCUCUGCAGGUUAAAGAAAGUUUGUUUACUAAAUACUUUUUGGAAUUGUAGCCUAAAAUAUCUGUCAAUAUUAACAUCUUUUGUCUUGUACUUCCAGACUCUACCUGGCUGCUAUGCAUUCAAAUCACAAUGUGGACCGACCACAGGCCGAAACAAAGGAAGGAGUACCGAUUUACAAAAUCUCCUUUCCAAAGGCUAGGAAGGGAGAGUGCAGAGCUAAACCUCAAAAAACACAGCAGACCUUUGGUAAGGGU